rnacentral:rRNA from 1 species
AGAUUGCAGGCUGAAACUCGCCUGUAUGAAGUCGGAAUUGCUAGUAAUCGCGGAUCAGCAUGCCGCGGUGAAUACGUUCCCGGGCCUUGUACACACCGCCCGUCACACCAUGAGAGUUGGCAACACCCGAAGUCAGUAGCCUAACCGCAAGGGGGGCGCUGCCGAAGGUGGGGUUGAUGAUUGGGGUGAAGUCGUAACAAGGUAUC